GAGCCCGGGGGCAUUUCACAUCUGACUUACAAAACCGCCUGCGCACCCUUUACGCCCAAUAAUUCCGAUUAACGCUUGCACCCUACGUAUUACCGCGGCUGCUGGCACGUAGUUAGCCGGUGCUUCUUCUGUUGAUACUGUCAUGAAUCGUGAUUAUUAGUCACGAUCUUUUCUUCUCAACUGAAAGAGCUUUACAACCCGAAGGCCUUCUUCACUCACGCGGCAUUGCUGGAUCAGGCUUUCGCCCAUUGUCCAAAAUUCCCCACUGCUGCCUCCCGUAGGAGUCUGGGCCGUGUCUCAGUCCCAGUGUGGUUGGCCAUCCUCUCAGACCAACUACUGAUCGUCGCCUUGGUAGGCCAUUACCCUACCAACUAGCUAAUCAGACAUCGGCCGCUCCAAAAGCAUAAGGUCUUUCGAUCCCCUGCUUUCCAGUGCGGCAGAGGGGGGAGGAAAUCCCGCGUGUGGCAGUGAAAUGGGUAUAUAUGCGGAGUAACUUUUGUUUGGGAGAAGGCUAUCCCCUUUUU
rnacentral:rRNA from 1 species